rnacentral:lncRNA from 1 species
ACAUAAUUUUCUGUUUGUUCAUCUGUUGACCCAUCACUUCAAACUGCCAAUAUGUUUAAGAUGGGGUGAUUUAUCACCAAGGCUACAUAAAAUGCAAUCCCCCAAACAUCAGCCAUGCCCUUGGAAAAAUAGCUAAAACUUGAAGUUUCUGAAGCUGGCUACAUGAUUCUACUUGGGAGAAGAGGACCCUGAAAGCCAAGGGUCCCUGGCACUCAGAGAGUGGUCCAGAAGGAGGUGUGGCACAGAUUCCAGGUGGACACAUUCCCAUGGUAUGGCGACAAAUUGAUGAG